UCUUACUUCUGAUCUGAAAUGGUGGUGUAUUGUUGCUUUGUAUGCAGUUGAACAGCUCCUCCUUUCUAACCUUGAGGACAUCACUGUGUAGUCACUAAUCUGUUGUGAGUGGACUCAAUCACUGGAUCCCAUGUGCUUCCAAGCCAACUGGACCCAGGAAAGUAGUGUAAGGACUGUGAUAUUGUAUACCCUCUGGUACUAGGUGAAACACUGUGAAAAAUCAAAUCUUCACUUCUCUGGUUUGCUCAACCUGAACUGAACAUGACCUUCAUCAGUAUUUCUGGCUUCCUGUUGAGGAAUGAGAAUCAUUGAUGAUUUACAGGAUAGAGUCAUUUAUGGCUAAGAUGCAGAAAGCAGAGGGUAAGUGACUUGCCCAAGGCCACAGAGAAACUCUGUGUCAUGUCACAGUGGAUGAGUAGAAUUUACAUAAAAGAACAUGAAGGAAAAAGAAGCAGAUGUGGAGCGGUCCAAAGGGUUUUCAAAUGCUCGGGAGCUACAGUUUGAGAUUGGAAAAUUUACUGUACAUCACAAGGAUAAAGAAGACUCACUUCAGAGCAACUAAUUUUAUCCAUCACCUUGAUGUUUUAAAAAGAAAUGAAAAGCAAAAACAAGCCAUGAAGAGGAGAGAGAAACAUGGAGUGAUUUUAUUAAUUUUUAGGCCGAUUCUACAGUGUACAUCCAAACAAAAAACAUCACAAGCAAAAUUUUUACCCUGGAAAGAGAAGAAAGCCAGAGAUUCUGCAAAGUGCAAUAUGGGCUUCACUAUUGCUCUUGAUUUUAUGUGAAGAUGCUCAAAUACUAUAAUAAA